ensembl:lncRNA
GUUCUUCCAAAGGUCUCAUCCAGGAAGUUAUUUAUAUCUUGCAAUUUAUACACAUCGUCCACACUUCCACACUGUGAUCCAAUGUCAGACAUAUCAGAGAAAGCAUCAUCAUCUCUCAUCCCCGAAUCAGCAUCACACAUUUCACCAGAAUUAGACAUUUCAGAAUUUUCAUUAAAAACCCUUUCAACGCUAACCGUAGCUACAUCAUCAUUCAGUACACUAGCGUCCUCCAAUUCAGAAAUAUCAUUAUUUUUACCAGAAUCAACCAUUUCAUGGACAUUCUCAGUCUGACUUUCACUCACUCCAUUACUGUCGAUGUUCCUCUGUGAUCCAGCUUGAGGCUGCACAUCCUCAGAAGCUGACUUGCUGCUCUCACCAGCAGUAGAAGUACUAGGCCUAACUUCAACUUCACUAACCUGGGCCUUGUGUGGACAUGCGUGCCGUUUAUGCCCGAUGUCCCCGCACUCAAAACAUUUCAAACUACCCGUGUUUGCGUAAAUAAAAUACGCUUUCCCUUCAUGCAUGACUCUGAACGAAAUGUCCAGCUCUGGUUCAUUUAAGAACAUAAACACCUGCCGCCUGAAAGACAUAACGUGUUUAAGAGCAGCGUUUUUACACCCCAGCGGGAUCAUCUUAAUCUCACUAGCCUUUUUUCCAUAUCGCGACAAAGCUUUCUCAAUUUCGUCAUUUCGAAUAAAAGGCGGCACAUUGGAUAUCGUAACUCUCGUUGUCGGAGCAACAAGCGGUGAGAUAAUAAGAAAAUCACCACUUACCACAAUUCCGUCGCUUAUCAACUGAUUUACUAUGUCUUCCUUCUCGACAAAAACCACCACUGCUUUAUUCAUCCUGGAUGCUGUAGUAAUGUUCUCAUACCCAACUUUUUCACCGAUUGCCAGCAACACGUCUUCAACAGUGACGCCCUGAGCUGGUACACACCUGAUUCCAUGGCGGAGCGACACCUGUGACCCUGUCCCCGGAGGGACAGACGCCAUCCCAGUGCCGCCUCAAAAACUCACAAACACUCACAAAACAAACCAGAUGUUAUUUUUAGAAAAACAACCAAACAUUCAUAGACUUAGAAACAUAAAAAAACAAACAAACCAAAAAAACAAACAAAAUAUAUGCGGAAAAAACCCCCAAAAUCAAUCGUCCUCUCCUCGUGAACACCCUCACACGCACCCCAACACUCCCAGCAUGCACCGAGAGAGAGAGAGAGAGAGAGAGAGAGAGAGAGAGAGAGAGAGAGAGAGAGA